CCUACGGGUGGCUGCAGUGGGGAAUAUUGCACAAUGGGGGAAACCCUGAUGCAGCGACGCCGCGUGAGUGAAGAAGUCUUUCUGUAUGUAAAGCUCUAUCAGCAGGGUAGAAAAUGACGGUACCUGAUUCAGAACCCCCGGCUCCCUACGUGCCAGCAGCCGCGGUAAGACGUAGGGGGCCAGCGUUAUCCGGAUUUACUGGGUGUAAAGGGAGCGUAGACGGCAGCACAAGUCUGGAGUGAAAUGCCGGGGCUUAACCCCGGAACUGCUUUGGAAACUGUGCAGCUAGAGUGCAGGAGAGGUAAGUGGAAGUCGUAGUGUAGCGGUGAAAUGCGUAGAUAUUAGGAGGAACACCAGUGGCGAAGGCGGCUUACUGGACUGUAACUGACGUUGAGGCUCGAAGGCGUGGGUAGCGAACAGGAUUAGAUACCCGGGUAGUC
rnacentral:rRNA from 1 species